ensembl:snRNA U6 U6 spliceosomal RNA
GUGCUCACUUUGGCAGCACAUAUACCAAAAUUGGAAUGAUACACAGAAGAUUAGCAUGGCCCUUCCACAAGGAUGACAUGCAAAUUCAUGAAGCGUCCCACCUUUUU